rnacentral:rRNA from 1 species
GACGAACGCUGGCGGCGUGCCUAAUACAUGCAAGUUGAGCGAUGAAGAUUGGUGCUUGCACCAAUUUGAAGAGCAGCGAACGGGUGAGUAACGCGUGGGGAAUCUGCCUUUGAGCGGGGGACAACAUUUGGAAACGAAUGCUAAUACCGCAUAAUAACUUUAAACAUAAGUUUUAAGUUUGAAAGAUGCAAUUGCAUCACUCAAAGAUGAUCCCGCGUUGUAUUAGCUAGUUGGUGAGGUAAAGGCUCACCAAGGCGAUGAUACAUAGCCGACCUGAGAGGGUGAUCGGCCACAUUGGGACUGAGACACGGCCCAAACUCCUACGGGAGGCAGCAGUAGGGAAUCUUCGGCAAUGGACGAAAGUCUGACCGAGCAACGCCGGGGGAGGGAAGAAGGUUUUCGGAUCGUAAAACUCUGUUGGUAGAGAAGAACGUUGGUGAGAGUGGAAAGCUCAUCAAGUGACGGUAACUACCCAGAAAGGGACGGCUAACUACGUG